rnacentral:rRNA from 1 species
GCUGGCGGCAGGCCUAACACAUGCAAGUCGAGCGGCCGUAGCAAUACGGCAGCGGCAGACGGGAGAGUAACACGUGGGAACGCGCCUUCGGUCCGGGAUAACCCAGGGAAACUUGGGCUAAUACCGGAUACGCCCUUACGGGGAAAGAUUUAUUGCCGAAGGAACGGCCCGCGUCCGAUUAGCUAGUUGGUGAGGUAACGGCUCACCAAGGCGACGAUCGGUAGCUGGUCUGAGAGGAUGACCAUGCCUCACUGGGACUGAGACACGGCCCAGACUCCUACGGGAGGCAGCAGUGGGGAAUAUUGGACAAUGGGCGCAAGCCUGAUCCAGCCAUGCCGCGUGGGUGAUGAAGGCCCUAGGGUUGUAAAGCCCUUUCAGCGGGGAAGAUAAUGACGGUACCCGCAGAAGAAGCCCCGGCUAACUUCGUGCCAGCAGCCGCGGUAAUACGAAGGGGGCUAGCGUUGCUCGGAAUUACUGGGCGUAAAGCGCACGUAGGCGGCUUUCUAAGUCGGGGGUGAAAUCCUGGAGCUCAACUCCAGAACUGCCUUCGAUACUGGAAAGCUCGAGUCCGGGAGAGGUGAGUGGAACUGCGAGUGUAGAGGUGAAAUUCGUAGAUAUUCCAAGAACACCAGUGGCGAAGGCGG